UGGCUCUCGCAUCGAUGAAGAACGCAGCGAAAUGCGAUAAGUAAUGUGAAUUGCAGAAUUCAGUGAAUCAUCGAAUCUUUGAACGCACCUUGCGCCCCUUGGUAUUCCGAGGGGCAUGCCUGUUUGAGUGUCAUUAAAUCAUCAACUCGAAAAGUUUUUUUCGAUGCUUGGAUCUUGGAGUGUGCGGGUCAUCUUAUCCGCUCCUCUCGAAAUGCAUUAGCGGUCAUCCGUAUGCGGACCUGCCCCGGCGUGAUAAUUAUCUGCGUCGCGGCCGCGAAGCUUUCUCAAUGAGAAGGAUAUGUCUGCUCACAGCCGUCGCUCACGCGACAAUCUAAUGACGAAUUUGACCUCAAAUCAGGUAGGACUACCCGCUGA
rnacentral:misc_RNA from 1 species